GGGGACGUACUUCAAUUGGCAGAAUGUAUGCUUUGCACGCAUAAAGUUACCGGUUCAAAUCCGGUCGUCUCCA
rfam:Ostreococcus tauri mitochondrion, complete genome.